CACUGGUACUCGGGUGGCGAACGGGUGAGUAACACGUGGGUGAUCUGCCUUGCACUCUGGGAUAAGCUUGGGAAACUGGGUCUAAUACCGGAUAGGAACCGUCUUUAGUGUGGUGGUUGGAAAGUUUUUUCGGUGCAAGAUGAGCUCGCGGCCUAUCAGCUUGUUGGUGGGGUAAUGGCCUACCAAGGCGUCGACGGGUAGCCGGCCUGAGAGGGUGUACGGCCACAUUGGGACUGAGAUACGGCCCAG
rnacentral:rRNA from 1 species